rnacentral:lncRNA from 1 species
UUUGUAGUUAUAGAUGGACAGAAUGCCUUUAUUUUAUUUGUUUAUUUUUAUGUGGUGCUGAGGAUGGAACCCAGUGCCUCCUUCUGAGCUACAGCCCCAGCCCCGUGAAAUUCUACUUUCAAACAUUAGUUCAAAUGUCCUCUCUUCUGAGAAGGAACUAGUUUCUCCCUUUGCUUUUCAUAACAGCAAUUUUCAUGAUGCCACCAAGGCUUGAGUUUCAUGAUCAUCCUCUGUAAGCAGUUCUGUCUCCUUCUCUAAUUUGUAGCAAUGACURUCUGAUGUCUAGCAACCAGCCCUGUGGGAAUUUCUGGGAACUGUGCAAACACUGUCCUGAGAAGAGCGCCCUGAUGCAUCUUAAAAGGAAA